rnacentral:rRNA from 1 species
GAUGAACGCUAGCUACAGGCUUAACACAUGCAAGUCGAGGGGCAGCACAGUGUAGCAAUGCAUGGGUGGCGACCGGCGCACGGGUGCGUAACGCGUAUCCAACCUUCCCGUUACUCUUGGAUAGCCUUCCGAAAGGGAGAUUAAUACAAGAUGGUAUUCAAAUUCCGCAUGUUAUUUGAAUUAAAGAUUUAUCGGUAACGGAUGGGGAUGCGUGACAUUAGAUAGUAGGCGGGGUAACGGCCCACCUAGUCUACGAUGUCUAGGGGUUCUGAGAGGAAGGUCCCCCACACUGGAACUGAGACACGGUCCAGACUCCUACGGGAGGCAGCAGUGAGGAAUAUUGGUCAAUGGUCGGAAGACUGAACCAGCCAAGUAGCGUGAAGGAUGAAGGUUCUAUGGAUUGUAAACUUCUUUUAUACGGGAAUAAAACACCUUACGUGUAGGGUCUUGUAUGUACCGUAUGAAUAAGCAUCGGCUAACUCCGUG